UGCGGUAUUAUAUUGUCUGUAGGAUUAACCCCUGAUUUAAGCGGUGCAUUUAACAGAAAGCCUUCAUUUCAGGGGAAAAAAGAGUGACCUAUCACAGGGGAAAUUGGUUCUUGGGGCAACUCGCACAAUGAUGGACAUGAAAAUUGUGGACAUGGAGAUUCCCGAGGGAAUCGAAAGCUGCGGGAUUGGUGAAAACCUUAUCAAACACAUUGUGGACGUUUGCGUGAGACAGAAUCCAAUCAAUAAAAAUGGUGUUGGAAUCAGAGAUGAUAA